AUUGAACGCUGGCGGCAGGCCUAACACAUGCAAGUCGAGCGGAUGAAGGGAGCUUGCUUCUGGAUUCAGCGGCGGACGGGUGAGUAAUGCCUAGGAAUCUGCCUGGUAGUGGGGGACAACGUUUCGAAAGGAACGCUAAUACCGCAUACGUCCUACGGGAGAAAGCAGGGGACCUUCGGGCCUUGCGCUAUCAGAUGAGCCUAGGUCGGAUUAGCUAGUUGGUGAGGUAAUGGCUCACCAAGGCGACGAUCCGUAACUGGUCUGAGAGGAUGAUCAGUCACACUGGAACUGAGACACGGUCCAGACUCCGACGGGAGGCAGCAGUGGGGAAUAUUGGACAAUGGGCGAAAGCCUGAUCCAGCCAUGCCGCGUGUGUGAAGAAGGUCUUCGGAUUGUAAAGCACUUUAAGUUGGGAGGAAGGGUUGUAGAUUAAUACUCCGCAAUUUUGACGUUACCGACAGAAUAAGCACUGGCUAACUCUGUGCCAGCCGCCGCGGUAAAAC
rnacentral:rRNA from 1 species